CGUUAAAAUAGGGCCCUUAGUGUUACAUUAGAGUUGAGUGCAACCAAUCAGUGAGCUGGACCUGUACACCUAUUUAAAGGUUGGUCACAUGGAGUCUAGAAGAUGCAGUCAAGAGAAGUCAAGAAUAGAGGUCCUGAUAGAAUAAAUGGGAAAAUUCUUAUACCAAGCAUUUUGGGAAGAUUAUGGAUGGAUAGUGCGGUGCCUGAAUUUAAAAAACGUAUAGAAAAUGUAUUGUUUUGGUGUCUUAAAAUAAAACUAAGGAAAAUAAAAUGAUUGUUACAUUGUUAAAUAAUAAAUAAUAAAUUAGUUAAAUUUAACAUACACUAAUCAAAAUCAGGUUUAGAAAUUGCCGUAUACAUUCAACAGCACCAUUACUGAUUCUUAUAAACAAAAAAGUAAUUCAGUACAGUGAAUAUUUGCAGUUUAUAAUUUGUAUUAUUAAUUACUAAUUAUUAUUUUAAACAUGAAAGGUGUCCAAGGACACUUUAUACGUGAUGUAUCCUGUCCAAAUAGGAUAUGAAUACUUUCACAUUAAAGAGAAAAAAUUAAAAAUGUAUAAAACUGGAAUUGAACUGAACUUUGGUACAAAUUAGUAUCAUUAAUAUCAGUGAAUAUUACAAUAAGACACUCAAGUUAUUUAACAUCUAGUUAUUCCGCCAGCUAUGGGAUCACUGAGGUCAGACUUAGGGAUGUAUUUUAGUGCUAAAAAGUCAAUAGGAAUCCAAGUACAAAUGUAGAACAAAUUAUCUUUUCUUAUUUUUAGUGACGAGAGAUGUGGAUAAUCGGUGCUGGUGAUAAAUAACCUAUUUCUCAUGAAUACAGCAGUUGGCCGCACAGAUCAGAGCACUCCAAUUCCAAAGAUCUGGAUCUACAUCUCAACUGGGCUGGGAGUACUGGUCCUGGUACUGGUUUUGGUUUUCGUCUGUGGUUUUCGUAGGAGAAAUGCAGCACCAGAAGUUAUGGACACCGUGUACGACAGCAUUGAAAAUGUUGAACGGAAAGCGACCACGUCAAAGGAUGAGCUGAGUCUGGGACCACUCUAUGAACUGAUCCAAAACGUUGAAGCUAAGCCCCCACAGCAGGAGAGCAAUGGAAACACCAUCUAUUACACUGUUCAGCAAAGCCGCCUUAUGGACCCUCCCUCCUAACAAGAAGACCCCCAGAGCUGCUGCUGGCUCAAGGUGGUUCCUGGAGAAGAAGACGUCCAAAUAUACAAACCCAAAUGAGAUUGCAGCAUCCUAAAACCAAAUGCUUAAGAUUUGUUUGUUGGUCAUCUGUGUGUGUGUACUGUUUAAAAAAGUCUUUUCUAACUAUUCUCUAGUGUCUAUAUACAGAUUGUUGAUAAGAUUAGCAUUUGGGAAAUAUCACCCACAAAUAAAAUUUGGGAGCAUUCAAACUAUCAAAUAUACCUGCUGACAAACAUGCUUAAAUUGCCUAAAUGCGUCAGCAUUUCAAGCAUCAAGUUGACUUUAUACAACUUUAUUCAUGACAUUGCCUGUUUCUCCCAGAUUCAGACUUGGUUUAAUUCCAAAUUCAUCAUCUUCUGUGCAUAAUGUGGCGUUAGCAUCUUUCAUUGACUUGCAGAGAUACAGUAGCCUAGCUCCUCUUCAUGUGAGGGAAAAUGGCUUAAAUCGAAUGCCUCCCGCACACUCCCAUUCUGGAUACACAGUGAAGAAUUUGGAAUUAUGCAACAUGUCUGAAUCUGGGUAAAGGCAAAGGCCCACCCACUUACAGAUAUCUCUGUAUGCCUUUAAGCUUGUUGAACCAUUUGCAGCCAAAUGGAAGUUGCUGGAAUAAAUUGUGAGAUAAGAAACAAAUAUUUUUUAACAUUAGGUUUCAAAGAGAUGAAAAAAAGAUCCAUGAUAUAAAGGUCACACAAAUCCACACUAUUUUGAAAAUGUAAUCAAAUCAAGAACCCGUCUCGGCCAACCAAAACCCAGGAUCUCUGACCAGCUCGUCCACUUGACCGGCCUCCUUUACCUGAAAAACAAAGAAAAAGGGAUGUGUCAUUUAGAACACACCGCUAACCGCUAGGCUGAUGUCACCAUCAUACCUGUUUGGACACCCUCUGAUGUCAAUAAAUGACUUGUAAGAGUUUAUCAAUAAAUCUUCAGCCUCUCGCACCAGUCUCUGGUAAGCCUGCUCCCAAGUUCAAGUGCAAAGUUCACACUGAACUUUGCACUUGAACUUGUAACUAGCUAGUUUGAAACCUCUGAAUUUAAGAUGCAUCAUAACUAGCUCAACAUAAAUGAUGACGUCUCUUUUAGUGACGUUAACAUCGUUAUCUCGACUAGUCUAUAUAGAACGAUAUCAAGGCAAAGAAAAAAGCGCAACUGUCGUCAGCGCUUGCCGAUGGGACCCGGGA
ensembl:lncRNA